rnacentral:rRNA from 1 species
UACGGGGGGAGCAAGCGUUGUUCGGAUUUACUGGGCGUAAAGGGCGCGUAGGCGGUCGUGACAAGUCACUUGUGAAAUCUCCGGGCUUAACUCGGAACGGUCAAGUGAUACUGUCGGACUAGAGUACAGAAGGGGCAACUGGAAUUCUCGAUGUAGCGGUGAAAUGCGUAGAUAUCGAGAGGAACACCUGCGGCGAAGGCGGGUUGCUGGGCCGACACUGACGCUGAGGCGCGAAAGCCAGGGGAGCGAACGGG